rnacentral:lncRNA from 1 species
UAAGUUAGGAUAUGCCCUGACUAUGACAAAAGAGAAUCCAAAAGUCCUAUGGUAAUAAAGAAAGAGCAAUAAAAUAAUAGGGCAUUCUGAAAGAUGGAGGCUUACCACUUCACAACUGAUCAAAAGGAGUACUCAAUGACCUAAUGCUAUACAAGAGUAAUGGAAAAGUCCUCAGCCUUACAUUAUGAAAUGAUGCAGCAUCUAGGAAUGACAAGUGGGGUGAACACUGGCAUAUAACUU